AUGAACGCUAGCUACAGGCUUAACACAUGCAAGUCGAGGGGCAGCAUUUCAGUUUGCUUGCAAACUGGAGAUGGCGACCGGCGCACGGGUGAGUAACACGUAUCCAACCUGCCGAUAACUCGGGGAUAGCCUUUCGAAAGAAAGAUUAAUACCCGAUGGUAUAAUCAGACCGCAUGGUCUUGUUAUUAAAGAAUUUCGGUUAUCGAUGGGGAUGCGUUCCAUUAGGCAGUUGGUGAGGUAACGGCUCACCAAACCUUCGAUGGAUAGGGGUUCUGAGAGGAAGGUCCCCCACAUUGGAACUGAGACACGGUCCAAACUCCUACGGGAGGCAGCAGUGAGGAAUAUUGGUCAAUGGGCGCAGGCCUGAACCAGCCAAGUAGCGUGAAGGAUGACUGCCCUAUGGGUUGUAAACUUCUUUUAUAUGGGAAUAAAGUUUUCCACGUGUGGAAUUUUGUAUGUACCAUAUGAAUAAGGAUCGGCUAACUCCGUGCCAGCAGCCGCGGUAAUACGGAGGAUCCGAGCGUUAUCCGGAUUUAUUGGGUUUAAAGGGAGCGUAGGUGGACAGUUAAGUCAGUUGUGAAAGUUUGCGGCUCAACCGUAAAAUUGCAGUUGAUACUGGCUGUCUUGAGUACAGUAGAGGUGGGCGGAAUUCGUGGUGUAGCGGUGAAAUGCUUAGAUAUCACGAAGAACUCCGAUUGCGAAGGCAGCUCACUGGACUGCAACUGACACUGAUGCUCGAAAGUGUGGGUAUCAAACAGGAUUAGAUACCCUGGUAGUCCACACAGUAAACGAUGAAUACUCGCUGUUUGCGAUAUACAGUAAGCGGCCAAGCGAAAGCAUUAAGUAUUCCACCUGGGGAGUACGCCGGCAACGGUGAAACUCAAAGGAAUUGACGGGGGCCCGCACAAGCGGAGGAACAUGUGGUUUAAUUCGAUGAUACGCGAGGAACCUUACCCGGGCUUAAAUUGCAACAGAAUAUAUUGGAAACAGUAUAGCCGUAAGGCUGUUGUGAAGGUGCUGCAUGGUUGUCGUCAGCUCGUGUCGUGAGAUGUUGGGUUAAGUCCCGCAACGAGCGCAACCCUUAUCUUUAGUUACUAACAGGUCAUGCUGAGGACUCUAGAGAGACUGCCGUCGUAAGAUGUGAGGAAGGUGGGGAUGACGUCAAAUCAGCACGGCCCUUACGUCCGGGGCUACACACGUGUUACAAUGGGGGGUACAGAAGGCAGCUACCUGGUGACAGGAUGCUAAUCCCAAAAGCCUCUCUCAGUUCGGAUCGAAGUCUGCAACCCGACUUCGUGAAGCUGGAUUCGCUAGUAAUCGCGCAUCAGCCAUGGCGCGGUGAAUACGUUCCCGGGCCUUGUACACACCGCCCGUCAAGCCAUGAAAGCCGGGGGUACCUGAAGUACGUAACCGCAAGGAGCGUCCUAGGGUAAAACUGGUAAUUGGGGCU
rnacentral:rRNA from 1 species